rnacentral:rRNA from 1 species
GACUCAUUAAUUAAUGGUGAUUAUGAUAACAUAAGGGAAAAAAAUGAUAUUACCUUAUUAUAAGUGUUGUCCAAAACUGGUGCCAGAAGACUCGGUAAGACCAGAGACGCAAACGUUAGUCAUCUUUAUCAGGCGUAAAGGGUGUGUAGGCUGCUUUCAAAUUUUAAAUCUUCGUAAUAGCUCUUUUACUGUACUACUAUAUUUGACUAACUAAAGCUAAAAAACAAACAACAUAAAUAAUUUGAAAAAACAGUAUAGUAUAAUAAAAUUAAUUUGAAAAAACAAACAAAUAAAUGGUAUAAAAAAAAUAUCCGGUGAAAGUAAAGAAAUAAAUGAAUAAAAGCUAGGAUCAAAUAGAGGAUAAACCAAAUAAUACUUAGAGUAGGGCUUAUAUCCGCAGAUACUAAGGGGAAUACUAAAGGUGAAAGCUUUUUAUCUACUAAUGAUUGACGCUGAGAAACGAAGGUGAGAAUAGGAAAUAGGAUUAGAUACCCAGAUACCUCUCACUGUCAACGAUGAAUGGUGGUUGUUAGUUUUAAUAAAAACUGGUAACGAUGUUAACACGAUAACCAUUCCGCCUUGCGAGUACGGUUGCAAAACUGAAACCAAAAAAAUUAGUCGGUCUCGAAGCAAACGAAGUGAAGCAU